UACGCAGGUGGCAAGCGAUACUCGGAAUCACUAGGCGUAAAGCGCAGGUAGGAGGUUUGGUAAGUCUGUUGUGAAAGCUCCCGGCUCAACUGGGAGAGGUCAACGGAAACUGUCAGGCUAGAGUGUGGUAGAGGUAGCUGGAAUUCCCGGUGUAGCGGUGAAAUGCGUAGAUAUCGGGAGGAAUACCUAUGGCGAAAGCAGGCUACUGGACCAUCACUGACUCUGAUCUGCGAAAGCUAGGGGAGCAAACAGG
rnacentral:rRNA from 1 species